rnacentral:sRNA from 2 species
AGCAAUGGAAAGGCUUAUAUGGGCGGUCGGCUAAUCUCCCGGAAGGGAGGUGAUGCCUUGUGACAGUAUUUGAAGCGAUUAUGCUAAUGCUUACCUUCGGUUCGCUGCUUGUAGCGCUGCUGUCCAAUAAAGACAAAUAGACCGCCCUCUGGCUAAGGGAUGCGGUCUAUUUAGUCGGUACCCUGCUUGUUAAGCCCACCGCCCUUAAAAGCGGCUAUUGCAUCGGAGAGUCGUGUUAGCGCACGGCUC